rnacentral:lncRNA from 1 species
AGGGUCACUCUCUCCUUGCACCAGGAAAGUUCUAUAGGUACACUCACUGGACAUCCAUCAACAAAAGCAUUGCCAGUGGUAUUUUCUUUCCCUGGGAAGGAGGCUGCUUGUGUCGCCCUGCCUCCAUGUAUUGGUUACCACCUUCUGAAGAGUUUCUGACCUAGAUCCUUGAAAACACCCGAGAUGGAGUGAGGGUUCUCAUUCUUCUCCUAGCUUUCCUCCUCUCAUGUCACUGCUUCUGCUUUGUGUUGCCUUUCACUUCCUCCUGCUAGGCAGUCCAGGGCCAGUGUUCUGUGGAAGAAGGAAAGUGUCCUUCCUCUCCUUGUUAGUUAUAGAGUAAUGUACCUUCCCAGCAGGAGACAAUGUGGGAUACUCCCUGUCUUGAAAUCCAGCAGGGUUGAGGGUCACCAGAAGCAUCCCUCUAGUCUUGAAAAUUCAUGCACAUGUUACUUGUGAAUGAGAUAGGAUCUGGACGCACAGCCAGGAAACAGACAUCAAGGAUUUCCUUUCUUGAGUCUUCUCCCAAUGGAAACUUGAAAGUUUCAGUCAGUCCAGGAGGUACCACUUCAAAGUAUGCUCCUUGGCUUUUUCUUCCCCUCCAAUCUUGUGUACACAUCAGUAUGGAAGUCAGUGAGUACUUAUACACAGAUUCUGCAAUUUCCACAUCCAUGCUCCCAUUCAGACUAGCAGGCACACACACAUACACACAUACACAGAUACAUCUGCAAUAUAUGGGCUGCCCCUUCCACAGACUGGCCCACACAUCUAAGGAACAUUGGAGCAAGAAGCCCAGGUACUGUGUGAUCCCCUUCUGGUACACACACACAUUUCUCUCUCUCUCACACACACAACAGGGUAGAAACACACUCCCAACUCCUAUAUGGUGUCUAGAAAAGGUCAGUCAAGGGCUAGGGUUGUGGUUCGGUGGUAGAGUACUUGCCUAGCACGUGUGAGGCACUGGGUUCAAUCCUCAACACCAUAUAAAAAUAAAUAAAAUUAAGGUAUUUUGUCCAUCUACAACUAAACAACAAAAAAGGUCAACCAUUCUCUGCUCCAAGACUUAACAACUGUGGGGCAAUUCUGGCCUCUUUUGACAAAUGGAAGAAAGAAGUUAUCACCCAGGUCCAAGGAGCAGGUGUUAAAAUAAAGUGUAGUCUGUAGUCCUGCUUAAACAGCAACCCUCCAACCUCUCCUAUUGUUGGUAAGGACAAACUGAGUCCUCUGCUGAGAGGCCAUGAGCCUCUGAUGUGUUUUGUAGCCUUCUGCAUGUCCCCUGUUAAAAGCCAGGCUAGCUUCCCCAGAGUCAGAUUGGAGUGAGUUGCUAGGUACCUCCUGCCAGGGAACUCCUGCUUCUUAUUCUGUGACUGCAGGCUGCCCUGGCCUUUCCUGGCUGCGUUGUUUGAGCCAUCUGAAGGUGGUAUGGCCUCUCCUUAGACCUUGGUCAAGAAACCCAGGGCUUCAGAAAAAAUGAUGAGUCUGGCAGCUCUGUGACAAGGACUUGGUAUGUGGAGCCAGCUUACCAUUUUAAUUCUGGAGUAGAGUAACAGUGAUCCUCAGGACAAGUCCUUUUUCUUUUCCUUCUUAAUUUUUUGGUACCAGGGAUUGAACCCAAAGGUGCUUAAUCACUGAGACACAUCCCCAGCCCUUUUAAAUAUUUUAUUUAGACACAGGGUCUCACUGAAGUUUUUAGGGCCUUGCUAAAAUUUUUUAGGGCCUUGCUGAGGCUGGCUUUGAUCCUGCCUCAGCCUUUAGGUUCUGCUGGGAUUACAGGCAUGUACCACUUUGCCCAGCUCCCUUUUCCUUCUUGGAAGAACUAAGCAAUUCACAGUAGACCAAAGACCUAGGAAUUAGACCAGGAAACUUGUGUAUGCUAGAAGAAAAUGUAGGCCCAACACUCCAGUAUAUCGGCUCAGAAGCUGACUUCCUUAACAAGACCCCAAAAUGUAAGAAGUAAAAUAAAAAUCUUUGCCACCCGUACAUCAGAUAGGGUGGCUAAUAUCCAAGAUAUAAAAAAACCUCAAAAACCUAAGACCAAAAAAAAAAAGCGCACGAUAAUCCAAUCAAUAAAUGGGCAAAGAAACUAGGUAGACACUUCUCAAAAGAAGAAACACGAGUGGUCAACAAAUAUAUGAAAACAUGUUCAAUACCUCUAGCAAUUAGAGAAGUACAAAUUAAAACUGCACUGAGAUUUCAUCUCACUCCAGUCAGAAUGGCAUGUUAUCAAGAAUACAAGUAAUAAUAAAUGUUGGCAAGGAUGUAGGGAAAAAAGUGUACACUCAUAUAUUGCUCAUGGGACUGCAAAUUGGUGCAACCACUCUGGAAAGCAGUAUGGAGAUUCCUCAAAAAAUUAGGAAUGGAACUACUAUUUGACCCAGCUAUCCCACUCCUUGUUAUAUAUCCAAAGGAUUUAAAAUCAGCAUACUACAGUGACACAGCCACCUCAAUAUUUAUAGCAGCACAGUUCUCAAUCAAUAGCUAAGCUAUGGAGCCAACCUAGGUGCCCUUCAGCAGAUGAAUGAAUAAAGGAAACGUGGUACAUAUACACAAUGGAAUAUUACUCAGCCAUAAAGAAGAAUGACUUUUUGACUUAUGACAGUAAAUGUGUGGAUCUGGAAACUAUCAUGCUAAGUGAAAUAAGCUAAUUCUCCCAAAGCAAAGGUUGAAUAUUUUUGCUGAUAUGUGGAAGUUAACCCACAAUAAAAGGGGGGGAUUUGUUCAGUGGAGUAGACAAAGGGAAAUGAAGGGAAGGGAGGGGAAUGGGAAAAGGAAAGACAGUAGAAUGAAUCUGACAUAACUUUCCAACAUACACAUGAGUACACAAUGAAUCUUGCAAUGUAUACAUCCACAAAAAAAUUAAUUUAGAAAACAUGAACUGGAGGCUGGGGAUAUAGCUCAGUUGGUAGAGUGCUUGCCCCACAAGCACAAGGCCCUGGGUUCAAUCCCCAGCAAAAAACAAAACAAAACAAAAUACCCAAUGAAUGAACUAAAGUGGCUGGGGUUGUGGCUCAGUGGUAGAGUGCUUGCCUUGUAUGUGUGAGGCACUGGGUUCGAUUCUCAGCACCACAUAAAAAUAAAUAAAGGUCUAACGACAACUUAAAACAAACAAACAAAAACCAACAAUAAACCAAAAACAUGAACUGGGUAAAUGGGAGAAAGAUUAAUAGAAGGAAGGGAGAAAUAAGGGAGAAGGGGGUAGGGAGAGGGAAGGAAAAGGAGAGGUACUGGAGUUUGCAUUAGAACAAAAUAUAGUCCAUGCUUGCAUAAUUAUGUCGAAAAGGAUUCUCCUCUCAUGUAUAACUAAAAGAACCAAUUAAAAAAAACACCAAACCAAGAGGUCCCAAGAAAGAAAGUCACAGAAAUACCUGGAUGCUGGAACAAGAUUCCUAUAAUUCCUAUAGAUCUCAACCUACCGCUUCAUGGUCAGUUGAUCCUGUGAGUUUGCAGGUCUAGUUGGGGCAUGGUGGCCCUUUUUUGCUUUCUUUUUUCGGGGGUCAGAUCUUCUGUAAGAAUCAGAUAGGAGCCUUUUUUGCUUUCCAUUCCUCAUUCCCACAUUUUAGACUGCUGUGUUUUUUUUUUUUAAGACGCAAAGGGCGGGGGGAGAGUGGAGGGAAGAGGCAGGUGGCAUCAACUUUGAGAAGUGUAGUGCUCUACCGCCAUCAAGUGGAAUGAGUUUCUGAUGAGUGGAGCCGAUUGGGCACCAGGGCCCAGUCCAGCCGAGCUCCGUGCAGGAAUCAGGGCCGCGAUCCACCACCGCCACUUGCCAUCAACCCAUGGCCACCGCGAACCAAGGUGGACGGUUACGCCCUGGCUGGCACUUGCCCCAGCUCAUUCCAAGCACAAGGGACACCCUGACUCCUCCACCAGGGAGCAGGGAGGAAGAAAAGGCUGACAGUGGGCGGCCCUCCAUAGCUGCCGCAGACUGCUAUCUUCCCGGCGAGGAAAGGGGCCUCCUGGCCUCAGCGUGUGCUGACCUCAGGCAGGAGCACCUGCAACUCUUGACCUAAGACCCCAGACCGCAAGGCCAGAACUCAGCUCAGUCAGUGGCCAGCGGCUUCUCCUGGGCCCGUCCUAAAAUGGCGCCACAGGCAGCUCCGCCCCCUGUGCUGGUUGGUGCUGCUCUACUGCUUGCAGGGUCCUAAGGCCCCUGGGUAAGGUCCCGAGGGCAGGCAGGCUUCCCCCUGUGCUUUGGACCCCUGGUGGGGAGAUUGUCCUUGGCUGGAGUACACUCACUCCAGUCCCACAACCCCAUUGCACACCACCCAGGCCACCUGACUACUGGAUCAAGCAUCCCUUCUGCCUGGGGUUUUCAGAAACUGUUUCCGCUAGAUGGCACUGUGGUUCCACAAAUGACAGUCACCCCUUUUCCUACGCGGCCCCCCC